UAAAAUCAAGAUGUAGCAUAAUUUAUUACUUAUCAGUAAAGAUAAUUAGGUUUGGUUGGAAAGGAAGGGUGAACUUGAUAUAAAGCCCAACCCUUAGCAGAAAGCUUCGGUCCCCAGCUAGCUUACGAGUAUCGCAGGCAGGCCUUUAGCUCAUUACAAUGUGGGAAAAUCAGAUCAGACACCAUAAUCAGUCCACUACAAAGUUACUUUUCCAUCCAGGUUCUUCGGCUUUCUCAAACACUAAUCUCUGUAGAUCAUCUACUACUUUUUUUCUUACAAAUUUUAAAUUGAGUGAGAGGAUGAUUUUGCAUAGAUGCUCAUGCCAGUUUUUUCUUCUUUGCAACAUUAAAUUAUCAUUUCGCUACACACUCGAGUCACAAGAAGAAAGAAGCAUAAACAUACAAAGAUUCACAAGACCAGGCCGACAAUCAAUCCAUCGGGCAAGACAAAGCAAACCAAACCAAAACAAAGCCCAAGAUCGAUGCAUAGAAAAAACAAGACGAAUCAAACAUUAAGAGGCAAAAUGGGGGCCAACCCCUGAACUAUGAAUCGGCAGUAAGCUCUUUUAAGGCAGAAUGAUUAUACAAGUUUUCCAGGACCGUGUGGACUGCAAUCAAAGCUUGAAGUGACGUUGUUUUGCAGGAUCAGCCAUCAUUGACUCACUGAUGCUUUGACAGUGUUUUGAUAUACUCAUCCAAUAGAUGAAACACCAUGUAUAACACCGUGAAGAAAAUAAUGGAUCAAUAAAACUGGAUGUUCCUUUCCAAAUAAGAACAAUUGAGCUCAUACAUUGCUAUGGAGGACAAAGAGCCAAUGUGAAGGCAAACGACAUAACAGUGUGGGUAGAUGCUGCCCCCUAACUCAGU
rnacentral:lncRNA from 1 species